rnacentral:rRNA from 1 species
GACGAACGCUGGCGGCGUGCUUAACACAUGCAAGUCGAACGGAAAGGCCCUGCUUUUGUGGGGUGCUCGAGUGGCGAACGGGUGAGUAACACGUGAGUAACCUGCCCUUGACUUUGGGAUAACUUCAGGAAACUGGGGCUAAUACCGGAUAGGAGCUCCUGCUGCAUGGUGGGGGUUGGAAAGUUUCGGCGGUUGGGGAUGGACUCGCGGCUUAUCAGCUUGUUGGUGGGGUAGUGGCUUACCAAGGCUUUGACGGGUAGCCGGCCUGAGAGGGUGACCGGCCACCUUGCGACUGAGAUACGGCCCAGACUCCUACGGUAGGCAGCAGUGGGGAAUAUUGCACAAUGGGCGGAAGCCUGAUGCAGCAGCCCCGCGUGCGGGAUGACGGCCUUCGGGUUGUAAACCGCUUUCGCCUGUGACGAAGCGUGAGUGACGGUAAUGGGUAAAGAAGCACCGGCUAACUACGUG